ACCGAAGCUUGCUUCGUGGGGUUUCGAGCCGUCGACCCUCUCGGAGAAGGUCGGUCCUGAACUCCACCCUUGAAUAAAUUACCUUUGUUGCUUUGGCGGGCCGCCUCGGCGCCAGCGGCUUCGGCUGUUGAGUGCCCGCCAGAGGACCACAACUCUUGUUUUUAGUGAUGUCUGAGUACUAUAUAAUAGUUAAAACUUUCAACAACGGAUCUCUUGGUUCUGGCAUCGAUGAAGAACGCAGCGAAAUGCGAUAAGUAAUGUGAAUUGCAGAAUUCAGUGAAUCAUCGAAUCUUUGAACGCACAUUGCGCCCUCUGGUAUUCCGGGGGGCAUGCCUGUUCGAGCGUCAUUAUAACCACUCAAGCUCUCGCUUGGUAUUGGGGUUCGCGGUUCCGCGGCCCCUAAAAUCAGUGGCGGUGCCUGUCGGCUCUACGCGUAGUAAUACUCCUCGCGUCUGGGUCCGGUAGGUCUACUUGCCAGCAACCCCCAAUUUUUACAGGUUGACCUCGGAUCAGGUAGGGAU
rnacentral:rRNA from 1 species